GGUUAAGCGACUAAGCGUACACGGUGGAUGCCCUGGCAGUCAGAGGCGAUGAAGGGCGUGCUAAUCUGCGAUAAGCGCCGGUAAGGUGAUAUGAACCGUUAUAACCGGCGAUACCCGAAUGGGGAAACCCAGUGUGAUUCGUCACACUAUCAUUAACUGAAUCCAUAGGUUAAUGAGGCGAACCGGGGGAACUGAAACAUCUAAGUACCCCGAGGAAAAGAAAUCAACCGAGAUUCCCCCAGUAGCGGCGAGCGAACGGGGAGGAGCCCAGAGCCUGAAUCAGCAUGUGUGUUAGUGGAAGCGUCUGGAAAGGCGCGCGAUACAGGGUGACAGCCCCGUACACAAAAGCGUAUGUGCUGUGAGCUCGAUGAGUAGGGCGGGACACGUGGUAUCCUGUCUGAAUAUGGGGGGACCAUCCUCCAAGGCUAAAUACUCCUGACUGACCGAUAGUGAACCAGUACCGUGAGGGAAAGGCGAAAAGAACCCCGGCGAGGGGAGUGAAAAAGAACCUGAAACCGUGUACGUACAAGCAGUGGGAGCACCCUUUGG
rnacentral:rRNA from 1 species